CUUAUGGAGAGUUUGAUCCUGGCUCAGGACGAACGCUGGCGGCGUGCCUAAUACAUGCAAGUCGAGCGAAUGAAAGAGAAGCUUGCUUCUCUGGAUUUAGCGGCGGACGGGUGAGUAACACGUGGGCAACCUACCUUAUAGAUGGGGAUAACUCCGGGAAACCGGGGCUAAUACCGAAUAACUCCAAGCACCUCCUGGUGCUUGGCUGAAAGACGGUUUCGGCUGUCACUAUAAGAUGGGCCCGCGGCGCAUUAGCUAGUUGGUAAGGUAACGGCUUACCAAGGCAACGAUGCGUAGCCGACCUGAGAGGGUGAUCGGCCACACUGGGA
rnacentral:rRNA from 1 species